ensembl:lncRNA
CUUCCUCACUGUUCAAUUUUGGUAUUCAAUGCUACAGCAUCUUUUCAGCCUUACACAAGUUUAGCAAUUUCUUUGUGAUUAUGGAUCAUUAAAAGCAGUGUUCAUUCAUAAAAAAUAAGCACUUAACAUUUUGCAAUCUCUAAAUAUACUUCAGUGAAAUAUACAGCAUCCUUUUUGGCCCCCAAAGACUAUAAAAGCAUCUUCACUCACAGAUAUUUAAAAGAAGGGCUAAAAAUAUUCAAGAAAAUUACAGUGCUUUAAGUGUUAAAAAGUAAAACACAUUUCAGCAUGCAAACGAACAAGAGUUUCACUCCAAAAUGCUUCGCUCCUGUGUCAAGGGACAUAAACACAUGGUGUGAACAAGUGGCAAUGUUUAGGGAAAUACUGCAAAACUAAAUCUUUUCCAUGUAGGCCAAAAUGACUUAUCAGCCAAGCUACUGGAUCAGGCAACUAUUUUUCUAUAUCAUAUUUUUAUGAAUGUGAGGAACUUAUAAACUCAAGGGCAGAACAAAUGCAGACACUAGCACUUAACCUAGGCAAACAGAAACAUGGAAGGAAGCAUCAUGGGAGGUGAAUAGGUUAGGCUUUCUUUCUUCUGUCAUCCCCUUACCAUUUGGAUGUUUCCAUCCUCCAUUCUGAGAAAUUAUGUGUUCCCCUGCAAUGAAGAGAGGUUUCGUCUCCUUUCAGCUAUCACAUUCACCUCGUUCAGAAGGUUUGCUUUGCCCAAAUCCUUUGACAGGGAGUGAGUGAAAUCUCAGCCCCAUUGAAGUCAGUGGGAAAUUUGCCAUUCACUAUAAGGGAGCCAGGAUUUUGCACAACGUUUAUAUCAGUAGAAGACCAGACUGAAUCUAGUGCAGUGUUUGUGAAGUGCUUUGAAGUAGAGAGUGUUACAGCACUGAAAUUAUUGCUAUUAUUAUUAUUGCUGCUUAGUGCACGACAGAGAAGAAAGGAAGAAAACCUCUGAAUGAACUGGAAGGAAAUACUGAUUCUGCAGAUCUUAGAGAUUCCUCAUGUUUCCAGUUUUGUCUGAGAGGCCUGUAGGUUAGCACACAGGAGAUUAACCUUGGCAAGCUGCACCACUGGGCUGACUGAGGAGGAAUUCUCACUGCAGCUGUCUGAACCAACAACACAUAAGGUCUGGGGCUGAGGAAGUUCUCAUCAGACAGAAGCAGAAAAAAAAAAAGAAGCAUGAGACAUCAGCGAACCAAGUCCCUGUACCUCUCUGAGAAGAUUACAUGGGAAUUCAAAUGUCCUAGAAUAAUUCACAGAUUCCUGAGUUCACAUGAGCAGCAGCAAAAGAGGAAAAUUGCUCCAUAUCCUGUAGAGAGGAAAUGAAAGGUAUCAGGAAGAGAAGAAUGUGCUGUGUGGUGCGAAAAUUCUGUUUUGAUUCCUGAUGCUAAACAUCUGCCUGUGUGUGUGUGUGUCUGUGUACAGAGUCACUUGACUUAGUGAGAGAAAAGCAUCUUCAAGAUUGUGCAAAGCCUAUUCCAGACCCAAGCUGUCUGAAUUGGCAGCUGUGGGAACACCCACAGGAAGCAUGGGACCCUGGAAGAAAAAGUGUAGGAGUGCAUCCUGUGGGGAUAGAUAAAAGUCAGAGCCGGGCUAUGGGAACCUCUUCAGAACAAACAUGCAAAUACGGUUUCGCAAGUCAAAGUCUCAACUGUUUGUUUAGGGAUUUUUUUGCUAUUUGUUGCUUUUAUUUGGCUUUCACAGAACAGAAAAAGGAUCUCAGAAAAAAAAAUAUGAAUGAAAUCUAAACCUUAGAUGUUUUCUUUAUUGCUUGGUGCGAACUCAUAUUCUUCGUCUGCGGCACCACAACUUGUUUUUAUACCUUGCGGUGGAGGAACAUCAUAGUUCACCUACUUCUUCUUCCACUGAGUUUGCUACUCACUUCACACACAACUAAUGAGCAGUGCUAGUGCAAAGCUGCCCAUAAUUUUUGCACCGUUGCUGUCUUGCUGAGAAAUACCUCCUCUCAUCUGUAUGAAAUAUUACAAUUCCCAGCUUUGAAAUUGUUAGUGCAGAAGAGUAACAGUGGAAAAGAACUUCACCCAUGUAUUUAUUAAUGGAUGUUCCCAACAGCUGAACUCAAGCAGAAAUCAGUGUCCUACCAAUGGCUUCCCAUGAAUAUCAACAGGUGACUCAGACUGUCUGCCAUAAGAACACAUGGGCCCUUGUAUUCCCACCAUCUCUGUAAUAUACUCAUCUUUCUAUCUCUCUUACCUUUAUGUGCCCUGCUGAAUAAAGCUAGAUGGAUUUAUUUUUAUCUUACCUAGAUGACAUUUUCAUUUAAUACUGGUGUCUGGCAAUCUUCUCAGUCUUUCAGCCAACUGUCUGCUAUCCGUACUUGUAAUAUCCUGCAACACCGGUGCCCAGAGAUCGAUUGCACGUUGUGUCAAUUAUUCUUUUUUCUUUUCGUGUCUGAGCAUUUCCAAUUCUUAGAUCACUAGGAAGAUUGAAAAUAAG